UGGAACAAAUGUGUUUUCUAAUGUACCCAUGCCGAACACAGAAGUUAAGCCCUAGAACGCCGGAAGUAGUUGGGGGUUGCCCCCUGUGAGAUAGGGAAGUCGCUUAGCU
rnacentral:rRNA from 1 species